UCUCUCCUUCAAGAAGUUCUCGCCAUGGUGAGGGCAUUGAGGACUCUAUUAAAUUCGUCAUCUCCACAUCACGCAGGUCUUGUUAACUCUUGCACUUAACCAUGCCCAUAAAGCUCCUGCUUAACCAGUACAGCUGUCAAAGCAUCCACAUAAAAAUUGAAACAUUGAAUCACAGGCUGCUUCUCUUUUUAUCACAUACUAAUAUAUAUUCCUCCUGGAUCGGGUGAAUUACCAUUACUUUUCAAUAGCUUCACAUCUUACUAACGUUGCUCCUGUCCCUUGAGUUCAAACUUCAAAUACAGCAGGACAGCCAAAGACGGAGCUAUCAGCCACCCGGAAGAGCGGGACUCGUCCCUCCUUCCAUGCCUUCCUGUGCAUAAAAUGAGCAGGAUUC
rnacentral:lncRNA from 1 species